rnacentral:rRNA from 1 species
AGUGAACGCUGGCGGCAGGCCUAACACAUGCAAGUCGAACGGCAGCACAGAGGAGCUUGCUCCUUGGGUGGCGAGUGGCGGACGGGUGAGGAAUACAUCGGAAUCUGCCUAUUUGUGGGGGAUAACGUAGGGAAACUUACGCUAAUACCGCAUACGACCUACGGGUGAAGCGGAGGACCUUCGGGCUUCGCGCAGAUAGAUGAGCCGAUGUCGGAUUAGCUAGUUGGCGGGGUAAAGGCCCACCAAGGCGACGAUCCGUAGCUGGUCUGAGAGGAUGAUCAGCCACACUGGAACUGAGACACGGUCCAGACUCCUACGGGAGGCAGCAGUGGGGAAUAUUGGACAAUGGGCGCAAGCCUGAUCCAGCCAUGCCGCGUGGGUGAAGAAGGCCUUCGGGUUGUAAAGCCCUUUUGUUGGGAAAGGAAAGCAGUCGGUUAAUACCCGAUUGUUCUGACGGUACCCAAAGAAUAAGCACCGGCUAACUUCGUGCCAGCCGCCGCGGUAACAC